AUGCUCGUCGACCGGAGAGAGCACGCGGCGCAGGUGGCCAGUGAGAGGGUCCAGGACGGUCAGGAUGACGGCAUUCCCUUCCCUGAAGGAGCGGCUGUAGGGGGCGAGGAGCGCGCGGCCGUGGCGGCAGUCCAGGGGCCUGUCGGCCAAGCGGCCACGGCCAGGGUGGACGGAGGGGAGGGCGGAGGUGCUGACGUAGGCUCCGUCGUCUUCGAAGAGCCCCAGGACGGAGGGCGUCCGGUGGAACUCGAGGUAGCGGCGGCGGAAUCCCGGAUCGGCGAGGAUGCGGAACCAGGGCUUGCAGACGACGGAGGCGCGGACGAGGCAGGCGGGCUCUCCCGGCGGAAGGCGGAGGAGGACCGCGUCGACCAGCUCCGGCGCAAGGCGGAGGAAGAGGUCCUCUGCGAGCUCGCCCAUCGGCGCCGGCGGGCGGCGGCGGCGGCGGAGGCGAGGGUUUGGGUGGGGAGGAGUGUGGGCACUGUACGGAGCAAGUGA
rnacentral:rRNA from 1 species